rnacentral:rRNA from 1 species
CGAGGAUGCUACUCUAGUCCUACCUAUGGAUAUUGGACGUUACUCCACACAAUUAGCGCCGGCUAACUCUGUGCCAGCAGCCGCGGUAAUACAGAGGGUGCGAGCGUUAAUCGGAUUUACUGGGCGUAAAGCGUGCGUAGGCGGCUUAUUAAGUCGGAUGUGAAAUCCCCGAGCUUAACUUGGGAAUUGCAUUCGAUACUGGUGAGCUAGAGUAUGGGAGAGGAUGGUAGAAUUCCAGGUGUAGCGGUGAAAUGCGUAGAGAUCUGGAGGAAUACCGAUGGCGAAGGCAGCCAUCUGGCCUAAUACUGACGCUGAGGUACGAAAGCAUGGGGAGCAAACAGGAUUAGAUACCCUGGUAGUCCAUGCCGUAAACGAUGUCUACUAGCCGUUGGGGCCUUUGAGGCUUUAAUGGCGCAGCUAACGCGAUAAGUAGACCGCCUGGGGAGUACGGUCGCAAGACUAAAACUCAAAUGAAUUGACGGGGGCCCGCACAAGCGGUGGAGCAUGUGGUUUAAUUCGAUGCAACGCGAAGAACCUUACCUGGCCUUGACAUACUAGAAACUUUCCAGAGAUGGAUUGGUGCCUUCGGGAAUCUAGAUACAGGUGCUGCAUGGCUGUCGUCAGCUCGUGUCGUGAGAUGUCGGGUUAAGUCCCGCAACG